UACGGAGGGUGCAAGCGUUAUCCGGAAUUACUGGGCGUAAAGAGUGUGUAGGCGGUGCUCUAAGUUCGGUGUGAAAUCUCCCGGCUCAACUGGGAGGGUGCGCCGGAAACUGGAGUGCUGGAGCGCGGGAGAGGAAAGCGGAAUUCCUGGUGUAGCGGUGAAAUGCGUAGAUAUCAGGAGGAACACCUGCGGUGUAGACGGCUUUCUGGACCGUAGCUGACGCUGAGACACGAAAGCGUGGGUAGCAAACAGG
rnacentral:rRNA from 1 species